UGGUGUAAGUGAUUAACACACUUGGCUGCUAACCAGAAGGUUGGUGGUUUGAGUCCACC
rnacentral:tRNA from 1 species